UCUGUUACACAGCACUAGGGAUUUGAACCGCUGAACUGCCGACCUUUCGAUCGACAAGCUCAGCGUCUUAGCCACUGAGCCACCGUGUCCCUAAGCACACUCAUAAACCUAAGAUGACAAUUUGGGCCUAGUUUUCUUCUCAGGUUUUUCAUCUUCAAAUUCAUCUGUAUCAAAAAUGGAGAAAAUUGCCAAAAAAAGAACAAAGAAAGAAAUCACUAGGGAAAACGUUGCAUAAGAAGAGAAUUCCGCCCGAAGCGAUCCAAGUUGCUAACUUCGCGUCGAAUUGAAAUUAUUAUACCAUAAGAGACGAAAGAAGGCGUGAAAUCUACCAGGACCGAGAAAAAAAACUGUUUUAAUUACAGUUGCUCCUUUCCGACUCUGAAAUAUAACUUUCCAGGCUGUCCCCCAGCUCCCCAAUCAACAUACUCAUCCUCAAGA